rfam:Myotis lucifugus cont2.16531, whole genome shotgun sequence.
GGCCUCCUGGUGCUUACCGCAGGCUGUGUUCUUACACUGACUGUACAGAAAUAGGAGGCAGAGUAAACUUACCCCAUAUACACCUCAGCUCAGGCUCUUUGCAUUCAACAAACACGUGCUGGGAACCUCCUGGGUGGCAGGUACAGAGUUAGACAUGG